ensembl:lncRNA
UAUUUUCUCAUAUUAUCUUCUUCAUUCCCAAUAUUCUUAAAGCUAAUAUGAAAUAUUUUUGAAAAAAAUCUACAAAAGCAAAGACUCUCUGAAAAAUUACAUUUGUAAUCUGGAUAUAAUUUAAAGAGUUAGUCUUGAGCAACAUGACUGAGGCUAUGAUACUUCUCAGCCCCUGCAAAGGGGGAGGAACUCUCUAAAGUUCUAAAACUGAAGAGUUGUCAGUGACCUCAUCUAUUAUGAAAAUCACUGAAGACUCUGAUGGGGACCACAGGGGAAGAGUCCAGAAGCAUUGGUCAACCAGAGCUUAUUCCUGGAACCAAAUUCAGGAAAAUGGAUACGCGCCCUCACCCACUGCACUCUGGGAAGAACAAACUCCUGGAUUACAAAUAUAGACAACUGGAUUUUUCUGGGUCGGCCCUGGUGAAUACCACCUGCCAAAGAUUGCUGUGGAAACAGAUUUUGACCCCCAGCCAAAAUGUUGGCCCCAUGAAGAGUACAUCAUGCGAAAUGCCAGGCUGGAUAAAGCACAAGUUGGAAUCAAGAUUGCCAGGAGAAAUAUCAAUAACCUCAGAUAUGCAGAUGACACCACUCUUACGGCAGAAAGUAAAGAAGAACUAAAUAGUUUCUUGAUGAAAGUGAAAAAGUACACUUAAAACUCAACAUUCAGAAAACUAAGAUCAUGCCAUCCAGUCCCAUCACUUCAUGGCAAAUAGAUGGGGAAACAAUGGAAACAGUGACAGAUUUUAUUUUCUUGGGCUCCAAAAUUACUGCAGAUGGUGACUGCAGCCAUGAAAUUUAAAGACUCCUUGGAAGGAAAGUUAUGACUAACCUAGACAGCAUAUUAAAAAGCAGAGACAUUACUUGGCCAACAAUGGUCCAUCUAGUCAAGGCUAUGGUUUUUCCAGUAGUCAUGUAUGGAUAUGAGAAUUGGACUAUAAAGAAAGCUGAGCACCGAAGAAUUGAUGCUUUUGAACUGUGG